rnacentral:lncRNA from 1 species
UUUCACCCACUUUGUAUCUAUCGAACAUUUCCCUUUUACAGUUCUCACUGGAAAAAUUGAAAUUGUUGGGACUUUCCUUCUUCUAUCUCUAAAAAAAUUUGUGACUUCUUGAUUUCACACUUUGAUCGCUACAAAUCUUCUAGCUGUAGUUGUGUUUAUUUUCCGUUCUUUUGAAAAUUUAGACUUUGCAAUUCUGCCUUAAUUGGAUAUGUCAUAUGACUGUUUGAAAAUAAGUGUUUUUUUUUCGUUCUUUUAAAAUUUAGACAUGCAUGUUUGCAAUACUGCCUUAAUUGGAUAUAGCUGUUUGAAAAUAAAUAUCUUACACAGAGAUUGGGUAAUUAGUAAUGAAUUUUUAUAUGAAUUUACUCAGCAACUCGAAGUUGAUUUCCUAUACAGUGUGUGCAACCUGUUGUCUUCACCAUUUGUCCUGUUUCCUACUUGCUCAACCCCAACUAUUGCAUCUAUCUACAUUGUCUUUCUUUUAAUUAUGCUUGCAUUCGGAUUCUGCUCUAUAAACAUUCCUUGUUAUGAGUGAUAAAUAUUGCAUCAGGAUCUUUAAUAUGAUAAUCAUCAUUCAGUAACACAUUAUAUAAAGUAAAGAGAAAUUGCAAUUCUGAUAAUAGAACUGGAUAUGGUGGUAACUGGUGACUAAUUUAAGGGCCAAAAUGUAAAUUUACUAUUGGUUAUGCAGCAUUGUGUCCUAUCUGUGAUAAUAGUGCAUACUAUGCUGUUAAGCUGAUAAGAUACAUACGGGAAAAUGUAAAGUUUAAGGGCCAAAAUGUAAAUUUAUUAUUGGUUAUGCAGCAUUGUGUCCUAUCUGUGAUAAUAGUGCAUACUUUGCUGUUAAGCUGAUAAGAUACAUAUGGGAAAACAAGAAGGAAAAUAUAAAGUUUGUUUGUGGUGUACGUGCUAUUCAAUCUGCCAAUACAAUGUAAAUCUGAUUUCUCAAUGCUGCAGCAGUUUUUAUGAAGAUAGUACUCCCUUUAUCCCAAUUUAUGUGAAUGGAUUCCAAUUAUGAGGGUCAAAGUACCUAAUUUUUGUGUGAGUUCGGUCGUAGAUUCUUCAAGAGUUGUUUGAAAUAAAAUAUACAUAAUAAUUUAAAGUAAUUAAAGAGUUUGAAAGAAUUGUAGUCAAAGAAAACACUAUUUGACUCCCCAAAUACUUCAUAUAGAAGGAGGGAAUAAUGAUCUUAUAAUGUUCGUCCUGUCAGGGAUGUCAUGAUAGCAGAUAGUUGAUAUUGUUGCCAGAAUUGGUUGUACUCAGAGGAAGUGUGGUCGCAGUCACAACUGAUUAUUAAAAAAAAGGAUGGUUUACAUUAUCAGUUUCAAAAAAAAGGGAUGGUUAUUGUGGUGACGCUGGUAACAAACUGCUUACAAUAAUAUUGAGAUAUAUGUGUCCAAACCUUACCUGGUACUUAUUGUUGGUGGGAGGUAAUAGGUAUUCAGUGGCAUUAGUUGAGGUGCAUGCAAGUUCGCUUGGACAUCAUGGUUAUUAGAAAAAAAAAAAGUCAGAAUAUAUGAAACUAAUUCAUCUUCUCUUUUUAUCGUCGUCAUUCUUAAGUCAAAGUGCUCUCUGCUGUUUCAUAACAGCAAGAUACCUGGGAUAGAGAGGGGCAUUAGCAUAUUAAACGUCACAUAUGUCUAAGCCGACGUAUGGUUCUAUGUAUUUAUUAAUGUGCUCUCUUCUUUUGUUGAGAAUGUUUGUUUUUGGUAUGUGUUAUGUAAUUCAAUUGUGACAAGUGUUUCAUUCAACGGUCCUACUAAAAGAGAUUGAAAUCUUGAAUUUUCUUUUCUGAAACACAAUACAAUGUCUUUUUUUGAUUCAUUUCCUUCACCUAUUUGAAGAAGAAUACAAUGAUUGGGGGUGUGGGGGUGCAUUGACAGGAGCUAUCGUAUCUGCUGCAAGUAAUAACAACAGGGUCAAGAUUGUUAUGGAUGCCACUACAGGAGGUGCUGUUGCUCCUGCUGCAGAGUUCCUUAAUUAUCUCACAUGAGUUGAGCAAAGAGAAAUAAGAAUUUUUUUACCAGCUAUUGCAAUACAAUGCUUAGUAUUUCCGUUGUUCUCUCUAAUUGUAUCCGUUCAAAAGUACAAGCUUGUGACACAUGAAUCUUAGACGCUUUGACUACUUGUAAUUCAAUCUACAAUUUAGCCAUCUUUCUCUAUCAUUUGCUUUUAUUAUUGGCUAUGUAGAAAAGGAGUGACAUGAACAAUGUGGAUUCAUUCAUUCAGUUGAUCUCCACUUGCUUUGCAUUGAGGAGUUUUUUCUCUAUCAAUUGUUAGAUAGUUCAAGUUGUCUGCGAUGGACAAGGUGAUCGUUAGCAUUGCCUCUUCUCAUGUAGGUUUGUUCUUUUGCUUCUUAAUUGAGGGGUAUUUCUUGGUUCCGGCCUUAUGGGGAAUCUUUUUCUUGGUAACUAACAUAUUCAUUUUAUUACCAAAGUGACAAUACAAAUCAACUACCGGCCUGAUGACAUAACCUAGUAGACUCAAAGAAGAACGAACCCUGCUGAUCAGACUAAUAAUAAUGAGGAUAGUAGUUUAGAUCAUUGAUACAGCUGCUAACUUAUGCCUGACAGUAGCAAUACAAGUAACAUCCAGAAUUACUAGCCUAACCACUUUCUCCGGUGUAGUACUGAUUGUCCUGACAAUCCUACAAUUCCUAUCAUGCCAUAUAUGGUAAACGCAUGCAGCAGUACCCUCCUGAGUAUAUAUGUUGAGGCUGAUCGGCCUUUGACAUUGUUCUCAAUCCACUCAAGUUCACUGGACCAAGCCAAAGCAGUCCUUUGAAUCUUUAUCCAGCUGAUCAAAACAUUCCACACUUUAGCAGCAUAGUUACCCCUAAAGAACAGGUGCUCUGCAGUUUUAUCAUCUCUACCCAUAAGACACUUUUCAUUUACUUGUAUAUGCCAUUUCACCAGCUUAUCUUUUGUCUACAAGCGAUUCAUAAUACCCAGACUUUGUAAGAAAAUUCACUUAGCAGCUCCAUAAUUGUUACACAUCAAUCUCCUCGAAGCCACCUUCUGGAACUCCUACAGUAGCCUACUAUAUACUUUCCUGAUAGAAAACUUCUCCAUAUAUGUAAUUUUAUUCAGAAUCAUACCAUCUUCCUGUGAGUACUUUUGAGCCUUAAAACCUUCUGUAGCAGCCAUGAUGCUUGCUUGGGCAUUACAUCCCUGAUUUGAGCCUCCUUAAUGCAGUAGGAAUGGACUCAUUGCACCCAGAGUUUAUCCUUCUUCCUACACAAAUUCCACAAAACCUUCAGGAUAGCAGUCUUAUUCCACAUUGCAAGAUCAGUGAUGUUGACUCCACUAGCUACCACAUGCCUACACAAAGCUUCCCAAGCUAUUAAAGCUUUAUUGGAUACUUCUGACCUUCCUGUCCACAAGAACCUUCUACAUAUGCCUUUGUUGGAAAGAAACAACAGAACUUAAUUUGUAUAAAGGAAAAAAACAGAUGUUGAACUAAGAAGAGAGAGCAGAAAAACUUGUAUUUAUUUCUUUGCUUAUUGAAAUGAUCACUGUCACAUUUAUACACAAAACCAUAACUGAAAAAGCUUAAUUAAAGGAGUAAAAUAAGUUAUUAUUGCCUAAAGAUUAGUAGCUGUUAUAAAAUCAGAUUGUGCAUGAUUGCAGCCUUAUUUACCUAAACUUAAUCCAACUUUAAAGUUGUAAGCCGAAUUUCAGCAGCUAGUACAGCUAAUCUGCAGCUCUUGAGGCACUAAUCUUAACAGCCUUCCAUAGCUUGAAGAACUACGUAGAUAGAAUAUUUGUAGCGACCAAAGUGUGAAAUCAAGAAGUCACAAAUUUUCUACAGAUAGAAGAAGAACAAAAGUUGUACCAGCAAUUUCAAUUUUCCCAGUGAGAACUAUAAAAAGGAAAUGUUCGAUAGAAACUGGGUGAAACUUUUAGCUGCAUUCUUCACUAUAUAUACCAAGUAAUUGAUAGUUAACACGUGAAUAUACAGGCUUUCCACGUGCCUCAGUAACAAUUAAAAAGGGUCAGAAAAGGAAAUAAAUUUAAAUUCUCCCUGAUAUAUUCUGUGAAGCAUGAUGUACAAUCAUUUGAUGCUGUGAUAGUACAACCCUUGAAUCAUGAUGUACAAUCAUUUAAUGUUGUGAUAGUACAACCCUUGUUGGCUUAUACAUAAGUAUUAGGAUCGAAAAUCCCGGAUAGUGCAGAAUUAAACAAAGUAAUCGAUUGAAUACGAUAACAAAGACGAUAAUAACGAUAAGUUGAGAAAAAAUAAAGGAGGCAUAAAUUUAACGUGAUUCGGUCAGUGUGACCUACGUCCACGAGCGGAGAGGAACAACUUCACUAUAUCAACAAGAGUACAAUAGAGAGAUUACAAAAUUAGAGUAGUCACUCUAAUUAACCCAAAUAUCCCAAGAGAAAACCUCACAAGAUCACUCCAAAAGAAAGGGCUCACACAAAAUAUUUCCCAACACCAAUUCUCUUAACUUAAUACUCUAAUAGGAAGGAAGAAUAAAUACAAGAGAAUGAAAGAGAACUCUUGUAAUUUGAUGUGUAUUACAAUUGAGAAAGAAGGCCUCUAUUUAUAGAGAUGAAAAUGGAGACAAGUAGCAAAAAAUGGAGACAAGUAGCAACUUUGUUUAAACAAGAAGCAACUUGUUUGAACAAGUAGCAACCUUGUUUGAACAAGUAGCAACUUGUUUGAACAAGUAUAAAUCUUGUUUGACAAGUCCAAAAAAUAAUCUUCCAUAAGUAUUUGUUAGAAACUUCCUUUAACAAAGCAAGAGUGAAUCAAACAAAGUCCACAUUACAAAUAUCCACCUUGGCCUGAGUUUGGUUAAUAUAGUAAAUCUUCUUCCUCUCCGCAAAAGCCCGUGUGGGCAAAAUCAUUCUUCACAAACGGCAAUCAAGCUCAAGCAAAGCUUGAACUUACUGACCGGAAGAGACUUUGUGAACAUGUCUGCAGGAUUGUCUCUAGUGUUGAUCUUCUGAACAAAGACCUUUCCUUCAAUAAUAGAUUCUCGAAUAAAAUAAUACUUGAUGUUAAUAUGCUUCGUUCUCUCAUGAUACAUUUGAUAUUUAGUUAAGUGGAUGGCAAUUUGACUAUCACAGAAAAUAAUAAUAUCACCUUGGUAUGGACUGAGUUCAGCAAAUAGACCCUUCAACCACAAAGCUUCUUUGAUAGCCUCGGUCACUGCCAUAUAUUCGUACAAGGAUUUCUUUAACAAGCAAACAUGAUCUUCCUUUCCUUCAAUUUUAAAUCCUUCAGGUUGAUGCAUAUGUAUUUGUUUCUCAAGUUUGCCAUGUAAGAAAGUUGUCUUAACAUCAAACUGUUCUAAUUCCAAAUCAUGCAUGGCAACUAAGGCAAGCAAGACACAAAUAGAGCUAUGUUUAACAACAGGUAAGAAAAUAUCAUUAAAAUCAACUCCUUGUACCUGACUAUAGCUCUUUGCAACUAAUCGUGCCUUAUACUUUGCAUCUUCAACCCCUGGAAUUCCAUCUUUUUUCUUGAAACCCAUUUGCAACCAAUGAUUCUACUUCCUAACGACGGCUUCACAAGAGAUCAAGUACCAUUCUUAUGAAGAGAUUCAAUUUCUUCAUUCAUUGCAAUCAGACACUUGGUUGAAUCAGUACCAGAAACUGCUUCUGAAUAAUUUGAUAGUUCUUUGAUUUCUUCAGUUUCCUGUACAAUUGAAAAAGCAAAUGCAACAUAAUCUCCAUACCUUUCUGGUCAGAGAAUUUAUGUUCUUGGUCUAUGUGUUGCUAUGGAAUACUCAUUUGGUUCAACUUCAGAAGUCACAACUUCUGGCUCAACUUCUGGAUUUUCAACUGUAUUUUGUUCCACAGUUGAUAAUGAGCUUGGCUCAGAAGGUAUGCCAAGAUUAACCUCCACCUGUUCAUAUACAUCAUGCUCUUUGUUCUUGGUACAAGAGCUAGAAGACACUUUUCUAGAAUGUAACAUGAAGGAUUCAUCAAAAGUUACAUCUCUGCUAAUUAUAAAUUUUGGUGACUUGGGAUUAGGGCACCAAAGUCUGUAUCCUUUCACCCCAGAUACAUAACCAAGAAAAAUAUAUUUUUUAGCCCUUGGCUCUAAUUUUCCAUCAUUUACAUGCAUGUAAGCAGGACAACCAAAAACUUUUAAGUCAGAAUAAUUUGCAGGUGUACCUGACCAUAUUUCCUCCGGAGUCUUGAAGUUCAAAGGUGCAGAAGGAGCACAGUUGAUAAUAUAACAAGCUGUAGAGAUAGCCUCAGCUCAAAAAGCAUUUGCCAACCCAGCAUUUGAAAUCAUACAAUGGGCUCUUUCCAAAAGAAUCUUGUUCAUCCUUUCUGCAACACCAUUUUAUUGAGGUGUCAUCCUCACAGUGCGAUGUCGAGCAAUUCCUUCAUUUUUGCAAAAUUCGUUGAACUCGUCAUUACAAAAUUCCAAGCCAUUAUAUGUUCUAAGCCGCUUGACCUGUUUUUUUGUUUGCUUUUCAAUCAAAACUUUCCAUUGUUUGAAAGUUAAGAAAACAUCACUUUUGUUUUUCAGAAAAUAAACCCAAACCUUCCUUGAAUAAUCAUCAAUGAAAGUUAACAUAUACCUCAAACCACCUUUUGAUGGGGUACGGAAAGGACCCCAAAGAUCUGAAUGAAUGUAGUCCAAAGUACCUUUUGUUCGAUGAAUUGCUGGAGAUUUGAAACUGACUCUUUUCUACUUUCCAAACACACAGUGUUCGUAGAACUCCAUUUUUCCAAUACUUUGUCUACACAUUAGACCUCUUUUUCUAAGGAUGGAAAGGCCUUUUUCACUCAUAUGCCUCAAUCGCAUAUGCCAUAAUUUGGUGAUGUUGGGAUCAAGUUGAUUUAAAGUGGAAACUGCAGCAACACCUGUAACAGUGGAUCCCAAUAAAGUGUACAACGUACCUGAUCUGUGUGCUUUCAUGAUCACAAGAGCUCCUGAAGAUACUUUCAAAACUCCACCUUCACCUGUGUAUUUACACCCAAGAGAUUCUAGAGUGCCCAAUGAAAUGAGAGUUUUCAUCAAGUCAGGAACAUAUCUAACAUCCAUGAGAGUUCUCACCACACCAUCAUGAAUCCUAAUUCGGAAUGUACCUUUACCAAAAACCUUGCAGGGAGUAUUGUUGCCUAUCAAGACAACUCUACCCCCAACAGAUUCGAAUGUGUUAAACAAAUCCCUAUUGGGACACAUAUGAUAAGAACAACCCGAAUCCAAAAUCCACUCAUCGUUAGAUUUAAAACUAUUAUUAGUUGCUAAGAAUAUUGUUCCUUCAAACUUAUCAGCAGCUACACUUGCUUCGGUGGAGUCAGCAUUUUGGUGCUCAUUUUUAUUUUCCUUACGCUUUUAUUUGUUUUUCAACUUAUAGCAUUCAGAAAUGAGAUGAACUUUUUUAUGACAAUAUUUGCACACAACAUUUCUAGGUUUAGACUUUGACCUUGAUUGAGACCUCUCACUAUUUGAUUCUUUCUUAUUAGAUCUACCUCUUACAAAUAAUCCUUCCCCAUGGGCUGCGCUACUUUCCCCAGUAAUAUCUCUAUCUAUCUGUUCCUUUGUUUUUAAGAUAGAUUUGAUUUCUUUGUAAGAGAUAUUAUCCUUUCCAUAAAACAUAGUAUCUCUAAUAUGCUUAAAUAAUUGGGGUAAGAAAAUAAGUAAUAAGAUGGCUUGGUCUUCAUCAUUAACUUCAGCGUCUAUAUUAGUCAAAUCCAUAAGAAUAGAAUCAAAAUCAUCAAGAUGUGAGAGUAUAGAGGUAUCUUCUACCAUACAAAAUGUGUAAAGCUUUUGCUUCAGGUAAAGUCGAUUUUCCACUGUCCUCUUCAUAUACAAGGCUUUUAGUUUUUCCCACAUGCCUUUUGCUGUGGUUUCUGCAGAUACUUCACAUAAAACCUCAUUUGAGAGAUUUAGAAUAAUACCUGAUUUUGCCUUUUUGUCUAUGACGGCAAAUUCUUCGUCUGUCAUUUUUUUCGGCCUCUUCUCCUUUUCUUCUAGUGCCAUAUCUAAGCCAUCCUGAAUUAAGAUAGCUUUCAUCUUUAAUUGCCACAUCCUGAAGUUUGCACUUCGAUCAAAUUUCUCAACGUAAGUCUUUGUUAUAGUCAUUUUGGCUACUGAAAAAUAACCUGGUUAGAUACGGCUCUGAUACCAAUUUGUUAGGAUUGAAAAUCCUGGAUAGUGUGGAAUUAAACAAAGUAAUCGAUUGAAUACGAUAACAAAGACGAUAAUAACGAUAAGUUGAGAAAAAAUAAAGGAGGCACAAAUUUAACGUGGUUCGAUCAGUGUGACCUACGUCCACGAGCGAAGAGGAACAACUUCACUAUAUCAACAAGAGUACAAUAGAGAGAUUACAAAAUUAGAGUAGUCACUCUAAUUAACCCAAAUAUCCCAAGAGAAAACCUCACAAGAUCACUCCAAAAGAAAGAGCUCACACAAAGUAUUUCCCAAGACCAACUCUCUUAACUUAAUACUCUAAUAGGAAGGAAGAAUAAAUACAAGAGAAUGAAAGAGAACUCUUGUAAUUUGAUGUGUAUUACAAUUGAGAAAGAAGGCCUCUAUUUAUAGAGAUGAAAAUGGAGACAAGUAGCAAAAAAUGGAGACAAGUAGCAACUUUGUUUGAACAAGAAGCAACUUGUUUGAACAAGUAGCAACCUUGUUUGAACAAGUAGCAAUCUUGUUUGACAAGUCCAAAAAAUAAUCUUCCACAAGUAUUUGUUAGAAACUUCCUUUGACAAAGUAAGAGUGAAUCAAACAAAGGCCACAUUACAAUAAGAGUAAAGUAUGGUUGAGUGAGUUGAUACGUAUGGAGUAUGGUUGUGUAAAUUGGUAUGUAUGGAGAAUGACCUUAAAAGUAGAAAUUAGUAUGCACCUAAGAUGUUUGGUGCAAAGAAAACAUUUUAUGAAGUCGUUUGCUCUCAUUACUUCAAUAGUAGGUAAUGUUGUUUGCUUUUAGACUCAAAACAGUAUAACUAAUGUCCAAAUUAUGUGGUAAAAAAUCUGUGCCUUAUUAUUGCUUGCACAGAUUGAACACAAGCCAGUGCUCAUGCUAAAUUGUGUCCUGCUAUCUUUUCAGUAUACAUGGUCUUAAGAUCGAGCAUUGAUAAGAUAACAACCGACACUGCUGACUGGACAUGCAAGGUCCAAAUCAUCGACAUCAGCCGAGAGAGAAAAAGUCCAGAGAAGCAAAUGCAAUUUCAAAAUCUGAUUUUAGAGGAUGAACAGGUAUUGUUGUAUGCAGCAAAUUGCAUCCUUCUAUGCAUCCAAACUAUACAGACACCAAUUGCAAUCCACUCCCCAGUUAAACAACAAAAUCUUGAAGCUUUCCUCAAGUCAGUGAGAACCAUAUCCGAUUAUAGAAAAUGCUCGAGUUUUUAGGUGAAAUCAAAAUGUUGUCCAGGACACAUAAUUUAGUGUCAGGUCUAAAAGCAGAAUGCACCAGACAACUUCUCCUUUAGCUAAUUCAUAAGAACAAUCCCUCCACACAAUGCACAAACUUAUCAGAGUAAGACAAAAAGAAAUAUAUCUCUGAUUUUUUAUUAGUUCUAUUAUAAUAAUUUAAUGAUGUAGGGAAGGUUAUCAUUGGGGAUAUUUCGAAAACACGGAAACUGAAGAGUACAAAAGAACUGUGUACAAAUGAUAUGACAAAAAGGACAAACAAGACAAAUAUGCGAAUAUUAUCGGACAGAUAGCCUGAGCAUGAUAGAGAAAUAAUGACUGACGCCACUAAUGGCUUUGCCACGUAGUCAGCUCCCAUUAGGUGUGGUAUUUUAGGGCUCGAUUGGAGCAUUUUAUGACAUUUUGAUCCUAAAAUAUUGUUGUCCUCCAAGUUUUCCUUAUUCACCAAGUCUUUGUUUCAUUGAAUAUAUGCAUUUAUUUUUCUAAAUUACUUUCAGGCCUGAAACACACAACACUGGAUUCAGUGAUUGGAUACAUUAUUGAAGCUCAAAAGCUUCAUUUGACUCCUCAUUUACUUGCAUUAUCAUAUUUACAUCGCUUUCUUAGUAUUGGAAUACUCAAUUGCCAAUAAUCAAAUAUUACGGGUUCAACUACGAUGCCUGUCAUUGACCUCAUACAUAUUUAAGUAUACUGUUUUUCUGAUGAACAUAUAUGUAUAUGUGUGUAAAAUUUUAAAUUCCCUUAUGAAAAAUACAUAUUCAAAUCCUAAAUGUUAUAUGUUUGGAUUCUCAUUUUAGUUUACUAAUAAAAAUUUCUAGCGUUGUCACUACCUUAUAUUCAGCAUUUCGCUUAUACUUCUACAAAAGAGUCUGUUUCUACGUUUUUCACAUGACUACUCACACAUAUCAAAAGAGGACAGAAUGAUAAUAAAAGUUAAAAGAAAACUUGGGAGAGGUGAUUAAGGACCACUCGUGUAGUAAUCCUACUCAUCCAUGUAGACUAAUAUCUAAUUAGUAUCAGUAAAUAAAGAAAAAAUUAAUGAUAAACAAUAUACUCAAACUAUCAUCUUUUCACGAGUUUUAUGUCUCAACUAUAUUCAUUGUUUCAUUAAUUGCCUAUCUAACUUAUCACUUUCUUUGUAUUAUUACACACCUCGCUUGAUGCUAAGUUGGCCUACACGUGUGUGUUGUCAAUUGAGAACAAAUAUUAGGUCAACUCAUCAUCGAGCGUGCUUUAAUACAAAGAAUAAUACAAAGGGGGUGAGAGAUUAGGUAAGGUAAAAAUAUUAAUAGAAAUUUGAGAUAUGAAACUCGCGAAAAGGUUUGGUUGGUUUAGGUGUGCUUUGGAGCAUCAACUGAAUAAGAAAUUCUGUAAUCUAAUUAUCGAGUUGUGAAACAAUGGCCAGGCAAUUGCUAGUCAUUUUAGUCAUUCUUUCACCAUACGCAUUCAUGGGAGAAACGACAUCUUCAAAGGCAUCUUCACAAUCAGAAAUGUCAGUAAUUGCAGCACUGAGCAUAGUGCUCAUACGUCCACUGUCAUGAAUAUGCAGAGCCUGAAUAGCUUGCUUAUAAUUGUAGGCCACAGUAUCCCAACUGUCGAGGCAAGUUUUAAGCAUUGUCUUAGUUUUGGGAGAAGUAGCAGGGGAAUGUGAAGCUCUUUUAAAAGUUGCAAAUGCCAAUUUGGCGAACCGAUCGCUCGCCUUCAUUGCCACUUGAAGAACAUUUUGUACGUUGAUGGCAUUUCCACGCAUAAGCGGAAAGAUGGUUUCGGUGCAAAGAUCAGGAUAGUCAGUAUUGUCGCAUAUCUCCUUUAUCGUAUCAUGAUCACUAAUUGCACCCUCAUCUUUCCGCUUAUCAGUGGACGUAAGAGAAGAAACGAGGCCAGAGGCGCCUAAUUGAUCACUAGAAGAAAUUGAAUCGAUGGAGAUGGAAGAAAAUUCUGAUUGUGACCGUGAAUUUUCAUUUUCAUAUCCAGGAGGGUAUGGAAAAUAACUGGUUGGUGAAUUUGCAUUUUGUUUUGAAGAAGAAGAAGAAGCUGUGGGUUGCAUGCUUGGUGCAACAAUUGGGGAUGAGUUAUUGAGAUUAUCGUUAUCUACGGAUUGAGCUGAAGUGAGAGUGAAGAGAAAGAGGGAAAAAAGGAACAGAGAUUCCAUGUUUUAUUUGAAAUUUUUAAUUAAUUGACCAAAUGGUGAAGGGAGGAAUGAAUAGAAAGGAACAAAAUGAACAAGUAAUUGAGGGAGGGAGGAAAGUUGAGUUACCAUAGAAAACAGGUUGACAUGAAAGAAAAUAGGAGAACCUUUAAAAUGUUUAACAAAUUAAAGUUACCAGUGGACAUCUACAUUGUCGGCAGUCUCUACAUAAUACUAUAUAAUUAAGUCUAUACGAACCAUUGUUAUAUGUACAAAUAUAUUACACAUCCAUUGGCUUAAAAAUUCUGGAUAACAUACUACUUAUUUUCGAGACAAAUUCCUAGCCUAUAUUAAAUUAAAGAUAACAUAGAGCGAAGUGUAUCGUGGACUUCACGGUUCCAAAUGAAGAUCAUAAACUUAAGAAAAUAGAGCGAGUGAAAAGCUAGUGAAAGAUGGUCAUUUUUAUUUGAUAUUUAUGCUGGUCCAAGUGUUGUUAAUAUAGGAAUGGCAAAUUCAUAUUCGAUUAGGGUAUAAAAUAGACUUAUACUGCCGUUUUUUCAUCCAAAUGAAAAGGCAAAUAAAUUAAUAUAGAACCUCAGAAGAGAUUUAUAUUCCUUUGAAAAUGAUAUUAUAGGAGCUAAUAAUGAUCUAACUUCUAUGAUUCCUCUAUCGCAUUUUUUGUCUACUGGUUUUGUGUGCAUGGCAGGAGGUGGCCGGUGGUUGUUUUUCUUGAUUAAUCAUGAUAUUGGUUUGUGUUCUUCUUCCUCCCCUCCUUUCUGGACUACACUAAUAUACCUAUGAUAUAUAAUGAAUUUAUACAUUGAUAGUAUAAGUGCCUGCUUGGAUGGUGGUUUCUCAUGGUAUGGUAUGAUAUGAUUAUCAAAGGAACCAUAUUUGUUUUGAUUAUUUUCUAAAAUAUAUGGUAUGGUAUAGUAUCUUUUCAUGGUCUGAUAAUCAUAGAAUUCUUUAUUUUUUAAAACUACCGAUUUGGUGGUAUCCCAUGAUUUUCUUAUUUCUUUUUUCGAUUACGCCCUUACUUAAUAUUUUUAAUCGUACUUUACACCCUCCUCUGCGUUCUUCUUUCUUCUUCUAUUGUCUCUUUUCUGCGCUCGUUCUGUCUUUCUAAGUUUGUUUUUUUUAAAUUUAACUGCUUAUUGUUCUCUCUCCAUUAAAAAUUUUAUUCUAGAAAUUUGAGUGUCUUAAUUUUCAGAAGCACAUGUACUGGAAAUAGGUGAAACCAUGUUCAUACAAAUAUGUGCCUAGCCUAUUCAAUUAUAAUCAAAUUGAUUAAUGCAUCGACCUGUGAAGUUGCUCAUGAUUUAUCUGAAAUAAAAAAGAAAGAUAGUUCUGACACUUGUGGGUCAAUAGAAUCUUGAUGGUGUUUUUGAUCUUUUAUACUAAUAUACUUCAAUAUGGGUUCUUCAUUGUUAUACUAAAAAAGAUGAUCUUUUACACGAAAGCUCAUGAUUGUUACCUGAAUUCAAAGAGGAACCUACAACUAUUGAGUUAAUAUAGCUCUUUCUUAAGAUAAUCUAGUCCAAUACUAUAUUCAGGAACCUACAACUAUUGAGUUAAUAUAGCUCUUUCUUAACAUAAUCUAGUCCAAUACUAUAUUUUCUAUUACACAUUUUUGGCUUUUCUAUGGGUCGUACAGAGGAUGUUUGCGCACUUUCCUAUAUUAUUUUUGAUAACAAUCGGAUAAAUUUGCUUUAAUCCCUUAUAUUUGUGGAAAGAAAAUUAUUUUAUUAAUAAUUAUUGAUAAAUUCAAAAUUUAUAACACUUAGGGCAUUUUAGUAAACUUACCCGUUACGAUACAGUACCAUACCAUCAAACCAAACAAAAAACUCUUACUAAACAGUAGUGAACGAUACAGUCAAUCCAAACAUUGUAUUGUACUAUACCAUACAGUACCAUCCCAUACCAUACAGUACCGUACAUUAUGAAACCGUGACAAACCACCAUCCAUAGUAGAUUACUUGCCUUCCCUUCCCAUUUAUGUGAUAUUACCAAGCCUUGCACUUAGUUUUCAGCAGUAUAUAACACUGAAAGUGAAUUACUGUCUAUUUUUACAAAGAACUCUUUCUUUUUUUUUUUUUUUUAUAACUAGUAGAUUACUUGCCUUCCCUUCCCAUUUAUGUGAUAUUACCAAGCCUUGCACUUAGUUUUCAGCAGUAUAUAACACUGAAAGUGAAUUACUGUCUAUUUUUACAAAGAACUCUUUCUUUUUUUUAAAAACCUUCUUCUCACAGGAUUAGUAUUUUUACCUGUAUCAAAACCAUAUUUUCCAUCUUUCAUGUAGAUUGAAGGAAGCCCCCAUGUAAAACACAACAAUAAAACACAAUACUGCCUUCUUUAGUGAAGCUACCUUAAAAUCUAAGAUGACAAGCAUAUAAAUAGAUGAAGCCAGAUUAGAGUUCAAAAAGUUUAUUUACCACAACAUGACAGGAAUUACAUACGUUCAAAAUGAGGGUACAUAAUACACACAUCAACAUGUUCAAGCUUGAUCCUAAUCAAGCUUACAAAACAGAUAAGAUUAUUUUAACAUAAGCUUAGAUCUCAAUGACAAUAAAUCAGCUCUGCCUGUAUAGGAGUUCAGCUCAUUGUAUAAUUAGUCUUCUGCCUUCUUCACAACAGUAACAGGACAGGUAGCAUUAUUCACCACAUAAUUGCUUACACUUCCCAUAAUAGCCCUGUGAAGAUAUUGAGGAAAAACUAUAAGUUACAAUAUUCCCUUUAUUUUGAGCAGAGUAGACGUAGUAAUGCAAUUACUAAAUGAUUAUGAGCUUUUUGCUGAAAUUCCACUCGAGUAAUACCAAGUUUACUCAUGCUACCUAAAUACAUUUGGAAUAUGGUAGCAAGAACAUAUUGGCAUCUUUGUCAAGGAAUAACUGCAACCAAAGCUCCGGUACUCCACAAUAGUUGCAAAAGAUAAAGCAGUGAAGUGACUAAUUUCCACUUUGACUUAAUACACAACAUGAUAUUCAGUCACAAAAGGAAUUACAGAAAAGAUAACACCUCUUGAUCUUUCCAAGCCCUCUGUUCCCUAUGACCAGACAGCUCAAGGGAGUUCUGUCAAUUGCUUCACAUAACUUCUCACGAGCAUCCCCCCAGAAAAUUUUCAUGACAACUGUAAUCUGCAAGCAAAAAAAUCCUGUAAGAAUACUUAAUCUAGGUAUGCUUCCUGAGAAACACCGGAUCUCAUAAAAGAAGAGAAAAUAUCACCUCCAUUUGCCUAGCAGCGAGGCUUAUCAUUUGCAAUGUUUCGGGGUCAGGGUUAACCCCAUACCUUUUCAUUGUGUGGCUAUCACAUAACUCGGAUAAGGGAAUGAAAGCUGUAAAAGAAAAAAAAGAACAAAUAGAUCUCAAAAGAUGUAUCAGAAGAUAGAAUCUCGCUAAUCAAAUAUCGGAUAUUUUAGCAGUAACAAGCCCAAGGCGACAUGCUUUCACUGCUAUGAUUCUUAGGAAGCUACUAUAGCUCUUGGCUCUUGCACCUAGACACGUCAAAAAGAUAAAUAAAGGUAGGUGCAAGCAUGAACUAGAUGAUUCCGGAUAUGCAACGCUCUACCCAGUUAAAGAUUAAACAGUUUGCAGGUAUACUAAUACAAGUAAUUGUGGAGACUAAACAUCCAUAUGUACCCUAAUGCAAUCUAGUUUCCUAUCCCCUCUACCAAACCAAAACUAAAUUCCCAAAACAAAUACUUGUAAUGUCUCCAUAUUUGACACGGAUGGGAUUCUCUAUGAAACUCAAAAAGCAUUAGCUGUAUCUUUAAUCCUGAUGAUGACACUCUGGAACGUAUAUCAAAAAUCUCUUUAUAGUGAAACAUAAAAAAUCUCCAUACAUAGACAAGUGAUUUAACCCUAUUCCAGUCACCAGAGUUCCCAUGUCCAUGACAUCUAAUCAACAAGCAUAAAAAAGCAGAUAUUUUUCUAGGUACGUCAGCAGAGAUUUCUAGGUUCAUCAACAAAAGAUAAACCUUAUCUGAUCUUCUACGUCACUGAACUAGUGGAUUGCCCAAAGCUACGAAAAGUUUGACCCUCAAACCAUAAGAAUAUAGUAGGACAGACAAAAAAGCUCCAAAAUUUUCACCAGCUAGCGCACCAUUUGUGUCUGAAAGUAAAGGAAUCUAUCUAGCUAUCAAACUUUCUGAGUGAAAAAUAUACUCCUUCAAUAUACAGAUAGACAAAAGAAAGCAAGAUGCCUUGCAACACUGCCAGUAUUUACAGCAAGGAUUGUAACCUACAAUGUUUUAAUUAGUUAUUUCAUCUUGAUACCCAACAGAUUAAAAAUGACUCAGAUGGCCAACAUAUCAAUCAAUUCGACUAUGUGAAUCCUCUUACUCAAUUCAUCAUCUACUGCCGAGUAGUGGAGCUAUGAUUUUUACCAAGGGGUUUAAAAAUAUAAAGAGGUAAACUCAUGAAGAAACCAAGGAGAUUCAACAUCUACUACAUAUAUAUUUAAAAAAUUAAUAUUGACCAAUAUAGUGUAUUUUUUAACCCCCCUUACGUUACCCUGGCUCCGGCCCUGCUACUAAAGUCAUUCCUUUACACCUGAGUGCCGAUCCUCCUCCUUUAUCUGUGGAAGACCGGGUAUUCUUUGUAAAGCUUACACAGAAGAAGUUGAGAUGACCAACAUAUAUAUGAGCCUAUAAAAUCAGUCACAAGAUGGAUUAAUUUUAUUUAUUGGGGUUGGAUUAGAUAAAAGUAGAGGGACAUGAGAAAGAAAAAGGAAUUAAUUAAAGAGAUCAUACGAGAACUAGUGGCCACCCAGAGUUGCAUCUCGCUUUCUUCAUAGUGUCCGUCAGGGCGCACAGUAACGAGAAUAAGGGUAUCCCCUUUACGAAUAAUGUUAUCAAUCGCCCAUUUCAAAGCUUUCUUGCUGCAUGCUGAGAAAUCUACUGCUACCCCAACAAAUCUAUCACCUCCUUCCAUCCCUCUUUAAGAUUUUUGCUUUGAUUAAGAACUUUCAACAACAACAAUAAUGGAGAGAGCAACUUGAUCACGACUAUUUCAGGAUGGAAGAAGACAAGUACUCAAGUAGUGCAAUGUUGAUUUGUCGGAUGUCAUAUUUUCCUACCACUUGUAAAGCCAAAAUGAGGUUGUUGGGACCCACUUUUCUGGCUCAUGAAAUUCCCACUUGUCUCUUUCAUGCUUUCUUUGACGUGAGGACAUCACGUUCUAAUAUAAAUUGGAUAAGUGUAGUGUAAUUUAACUAGUAUACUAGUAUUGUCUUUGCUGAGAUUGAACAUUACUUUUUCACAAUGCAUCCCUCUAAAUCUUGAACUGUUAUAUUUGAGACUUGAGAGCGAGAAUUUACUAGCUGGAUUAUAAGUUGGUCAUAUGAAAUUUUACUUUUUUGUAAGGGUGUUUAAAAUCAAAUUGUAACCCAUAAUUUAAUUAUAUAAUUAGUUUAUUGGCUAUUUGGUUUACCGGUAACGGGUAAUCGGAUUAACUAUUGGAGAAUGCAUUAAAAUUUUAUAAUUAAUGAUUUAUCAAUGUGGGAACGGAAUUUUCAAUUUUCUUAUCGGGUGAACCGUUAGCCCAUUAAGAAUUAUCAUGUUUAUAUUUUUUACCCCUAGAUAUAUAAAGUUUCUUUUGUAAAUCCAAAAACUAAAAUUUCAUUCAUUAUUCUACUCAUUACAUCUCGUGACUUCUAACCAUAAAGUGUAGUUGAUCUUCCUAACACAUAUACAAAACCUAAAAUCAAGUCCUAAAUCUAAAAACGAAUCAUUCUUGAUAACAUGAAGAACCGUAACAAAAAUAAAACAAUGUCGAUAUGUCCUUCACAAAAUUUCAUAUAAAACCAAAAACAAAAAAUCAAAUCAUAUCAAGGUUUAAUUUUUCUUUCAACCAAUAAUUAAAAAGUUUUGUUUCUACAUAUGUUUUACGUCUAGAAGAAAAUUUUCAUAUGAAUCUAUGUUUUUACAAAGAACUCUUUCUUUUUUUUUUUUUUUGAUAACCUUGAUGUUCGGGUUAACAUGACCAAAAUAUAAGUUUCAGCUAUUAUGAAUGAAAGGUCCAGCAACCACAUAAUGUCAAGCUUAAAACAGAACAUACAAUAGAAUUCAAACCAUCCUUAUUUAGUAGAUUCUCAAAAACCUUCUUCUCACAGGAUUAGUAUUUUUACCUGUAUCAAAACCAUAUUUUCCAUCUUUCAUGUAGAUUGAAGGAAGCCCCCAUGUAAAACACAACAAUAAAACACAAUACUGCCUUCUUUAGUGAAGCUACCUUAAAAUCUAAGAUGACAAGCAUAUAAAUAGAUGAAGCCAGAUUAGAGUUCAAAAAGUUUAUUUACCACAACAUGACAGGAAUUACAUACGUUCAAAAUGAGGGUACAUAAUACACACAUCAACAUGUUCAAGCUUGAUCCUAAUCAAGCUUACAAAACAGAUAAGAUUAUUUUAACAUAAGCUUAGAUCUCAAUGACAAUAAAUCAGCUCUGCCUGUAUAGGAGUUCAGCUCAUUGUAUAAUUAGUCUUCUGCCUUCUUCACAACAGUAACAGGACAGGUAGCAUUAUUCACCACAUAAUUGCUUACACUUCCCAUAAUAGCCCUGUGAAGAUAUUGAGGAAAAACUAUAAGUUACAAUAUUCCCUUUAUUUUGAGCAGAGUAGACGUAGUAAUGCAAUUACUAAAUGAUUAUGAGCUUUUUGCUGAAAUUCCACUCGAGUAAUACCAAGUUUACUCAUGCUACCUAAAUACAUUUGGAAUAUGGUAGCAAGAACAUAUUGGCAUCUUUGUCAAGGAAUAACUGCAACCAAAGCUCCGGUACUCCACAAUAGUUGCAAAAGAUAAAGCAGUGAAGUGACUAAUUUCCACUUUGACUUAAUACACAACAUGAUAUUCAGUCACAAAAGGAAUUACAGAAAAGAUAACACCU